UGGGGAAUAUUGCACAAUGGGCGCAAGCCUGAUGCAGCAACGCCGCGUGAACGAUGAAGGUCUUCGGAUCGUCACGUUCUGUUGCAGGGUAAGUUAAUGACGGUACCCUGUGAGGAACCUCCGUCUAACUACGUGCCAGCAGCCGCGGUCAUACGUCGGGGGCUAGCGUUAUCCGGAUUUACUGGGCGUAAAGGGUGCGUAGGUGGUCUUUCAAGUCGGUGGUUAAAGGCUACCGCUCAACCGUAGUUAGCCUCCGAAAUUGGUAGACUUGAGUGCAGGAGAGGAAAGUGGAAUUCCCAGUGUAGCGGUGAAAUGCGUAGAAAUUAGGAGGAACACCAGUAGCGAAGGCGGCUUUAUGGACUGCAAAUGACACUGAGGCACGAAAGCGUGGGUAGCAAACAGG
rnacentral:rRNA from 1 species